rnacentral:rRNA from 1 species
CAGCAGCCGCGGUAAUACAGAGGGUGCGAGCGUUAAUCGGAUUUACUGGGCGUAAAGCGUGCGUAGGCGGCUUCUUAAGUCGGAUGUGAAAUCCCUGAGCUUAACUUAGGAAUUGCAUUCGAUACUGGGAAGCUAGAGUAUGGGAGAGGAUGGUAGAAUUCCAGGUGUAGCGGUGAAAUGCGUAGAGAUCUGGAGGAAUACCGAUGGCGAAGGCAGCCAUCUGGCCUAAUACUGACGCUGAGGUACGAAAGCAUGGGGAGCAAACAGGAUUAGAUACCCCUGUAGUCCAUGUCUCUUAUAC